rnacentral:rRNA from 1 species
CCUUUCUAGUCGUGGCUUUCUGGUUGGAUACCGUCACGCCGACAACAGUUACUCUGCCGACCAUUCUUCUCCAACAACAGAGUUUUACGACCCGAAAGCCUUCUUCACUCACGCGGCGUUGCUCCAUCAGACUUGCGUCCAUUGUGGAAGAUUCCCUACUGCUGCCUCCCGUAGGAGUAGGGGGAACNUUNCACANUGGAGCGCGGUNUGAUGGANCAACGCCGNGUGAGUGAAGAANGCUUUNGGGUC